rnacentral:rRNA from 1 species
UACAGAGGUCUCAAGCGUUUGUUCGGAUUCAUUGGGCGUAAAGGGUGCGUAGGUGGCGCUGUAAGUCGGGUGUGAAAUUUCGGAGCUUAACUCCGAAACUGCAUUCGAUACUGCGGUGCUUGAGGACUGGAGAGGAGACUGGAAAUUCAUGGUGUAGCAGUGAAAUGCGUAGAGAUCAUGAGGAAGACCAGUGGCGAAGGCGGGUCUCUGGACAGUUCCUGACGCUGAGGCACGAAGGUCAGGGGAGCAAACGGG